rnacentral:rRNA from 1 species
AGAUUGGACAAUGCGGGCAACCCUGACCUAGCCAUGCCGCGGGUGUGAAGAAGGCCCUCGGAUUGUUUUGUACUUCAAGUUGGGAGGAAGGGCUUUAGGCUAAUACCCUGAAGUCUUGACGUUCCCAACAGAAUAAGCAUCGGCCAACUCUGUGUUAGCAGCCGCGGUAAUACAGAGGGUGCAAGCGUUAAUCGGAAUUACUGGGCGUAAACCGCGCAUAGGUGGUUCAGUAAGAUGGGUGUGAAAUCCCCGGGCUUAACCUGGAAACUGCGUUCAUAACUGCUGAGCUAGAGUACGGUAGAGGGUAGUGGAAUUUCCUGUGUAGCGGUGAAAUGCGUAGAUAUAGGAAGGAACACCAGUGGCGAAGGCGACUACCUGGACUGAUACUGACACUGAGGUGCGAAAGCGUGGGGAGCAAACA